AGCUCCCCUCUGUCUCAUCACCGGUGGUUGUAGACACCUGUGUCUCCUCUGUUUGUCCUCUUGUUUUCAGCGUCCGUCUCUUGUUUUCUUCGUAUUUCAUCGUACUUCUCCAUUUUUAUCGUGGAUGUGACGUCAUCACUCGUCAAAGAGAAAAGCUCAAAUCAACUUCACCUCAGUUUCAUAAAGGUCAGGUGAAAUCACACAGCAGAAAUAAAUGUGUCACCUUUUUUCUGCUGCUCACUGUUAAUUCAAUUAUUCACCAAGUGAUGGCAUCAUCGCCUUCAUCACCUGAGGAGGAGGAUGAAGACGCUGCUCUGGUUUAUUCCCUGAAGAGCUGCGUGGGACAGCUUGACUCUACAUCGUGUCUCCUAUCCACAUCUGGAUCACCAAUCUACAGAACAGACCAUAAUGGCUCAGCUGUAACAGAAAAUGAGGUCAAACGUGAAUCUUCUCAUCAGCUGCAACCUUGACCCCGCCCACCAUCUUGUAACCAAUCACCUCAACGGCCUUGCAUACAUGGUCAUCAUGAGGUCCCACCCCUGUCACUCCUCACACAUACAAAUCAAACACACCCACUUGCUCUGACAGUGUUUUCCUUGAAUUCCUCUGCUGCUGGCUUUGACCUCUGGACAAAUAACAGACUUUGUUAUUAGACAGUGUCUAGAUGAAGAGAACCAUAAUCAGUUUCUAUUGUUCAUAUGCUGGUGUUGACGUCAACCUCUGCUUGUAUAUGAAAUAAAUGUAUGUCUUAAAGGAUA